GCCACGGGGCUGAGGCCAUUGAAGAUAGAAAAUAGGAACCAGGGAACUGGCAGCCUGCAAGGCAAGGAAAAGUAAUUGAAAUAAAUGUUUUAAGGCUGUUCAUUUUCUGCAUCAUAACUAAGCAAUUUUUCCAAACUUUUACAGGGGGAAAAGAAUGCACAAUUGUAUUCAAUAUAGCUCAGCAUAAAUCUAAACUGGAUGUUGUUCCUGUCAAAACUGCAUUUGGAUAAUGCUUGCACUAUCAUAAUACAAUCAAAUAGUAAAAUGGUUUGAAAAUAAUACCUAAGAAUUAAGAGCCGUCAUGUGCUAUUAUAAAGAAGUGUCCUUAUGGUUUAGGAUGGGAGAUUCAGGCACUUGAGACUGCCCUUCACCAGGAGCUGAAUGUCUCUGAGUGACCAGAAGAAAUGGACCUGGUACUCACCCAACAGUGAUGUCGAAGAUGUUGCUGCCCACAGAACUGGACACAGCCAUGUCCCCCAAGCCCUUCCUGGCCACAAUGACACUGGUGAUGAGAAUGGGUAUUUGCUGAAAGAACAAAACCUCUCACCUGGUGAGCCCACCACACCAUGAGAUAAGAGAAUGCAGCAAUCCAGAGGAUGGAUCCAAAAAAUGUGAUGACAAAGAAUUUUUUUGACUCCUGUUGAAAUCAAGUUUGAAAAGAAAAAAAAGUUUCAGGGAAGUUAAUAGUCCCCAUCGAAAACUAUUCAGCUGAAACACUUCACUGCAAUUGACUGCUUUAACUUGGACCCUGGUCUCUGUUUGCUGUUUGCUUGACCUGUAGUUGCUAGAAUUUGUGGUUUAUUAAAUUAAGUCUCUGGAAUGACA